CCUACGGGAGGCAGCAGUAAGGAAUCUUCCACAAUGGACGAAAGUCUGAUGGAGCAACGCCGCGUGCAGGAUGAAGGCUUUCGGGUCGUAAACUGCUUUUAUAUGGGAAGAUUAUGACGGUACCAUAUGAAUAAGGACCGGCUAACUACGUGCCAGCAGCCGCGGUAAUACGUAGGGUCCAAGCGAUAUCCGGAAUUACUGGGCGUAAAGCGUGUGUAGGUGGAUUAAUAAGUGUGAUGCGAAAUCCGGCGGCUCAACCGUUUGGACUGUGUCGCAUACUGUUAGUCUAGAGGACAGCAGAGGUAAGUGGAAUUACGGGUGUAGCAGUGAAAUGCGUAGAUAUCCGUAGGAACACCAAUGGCGAAGGCAGCUUACUGGGCCACACCUGACACUGAGACACGAAAGCGUGGGGAGCGAACAGGAUUAGAUACCCUGGUAGUCCACGCCGUAAACGAUGCAUACUAUUAGUAUGGGGUAUCGACCCCCUGUGCUGAGAAGCUAACGCGAUAAGUAUGCCGCCUGGGGAGUACGAGCGCAAGCUUAAAACUUAAAUUAGAAUUGACGGCUUGAGAGNGCGAGACGACGACGAGGAGGAGG
rnacentral:rRNA from 1 species